rnacentral:rRNA from 1 species
AACCAACGCUGGCGGCGUGCUUAACACAUGCAAGUCGAGCGGUAAGGCCCUUUCGGGGGUACACGAGCGGCGAACGGGUGAGUAACACGUGGGUGACCUGCCCUCAGCUCUGGGAUAAGCCUGGGAAACUGGGUCUAAUACCGGAUAUGACUCCAUGACGCAUGUUGUGGGGUGGAAAGCCUUGUGCGGCUGAGGAUGGGCCCGCGGCCUAUCAGCUUGUUGGUGGGGUGANGGCCUACCAAGGCGACGACGGGUAGCCGGCCUGAGAGGGCGACCGGCCACACUGGGACUGAGACACGGCCCAGACUCCUACGGGAGGCAGCAGUGGGGAAUCUUGCGCAAUGGGCGAAAGCCUGACGCGGCGACGCCGCGUGAGGGAUGACGGCCUGGUGUAA